rnacentral:rRNA from 1 species
AGCAUAUCAAUAAGCGGAGGAAAAGAAACCAACCGGGAUUGCCUUAGUAACGGCGAGUGAAGCGGCAAAAGCUCAAAUUUGAAAUCUGGCGUCUUCGACGUCCGAGUUGUAAUUUGAAGAAGGCAACUUUGUAGCUGGUCCUUGUCUAUGUUCCUUGGAACAGGACGUCAUAGAGGGUGAGAAUCCCGUGUGGCGAGGAUCCCAGUUAUUUGUAAAGUGCUUUCGACGAGUCGAGUUGUUUGGGAAUGCAGCUCUAAGUGGGUGGUAAAUUCCAUCUAAAGCUAAAUAUUGGCGAGAGACCGAUAGCGAACAAGUACAGUGAUGGAAAGAUGAAAAGAACUUUGAAAAGAGAGUGAAAAAGUACGUGAAAUUGUUGAAAGGGAAGGGCAUUUGAUCAGACAUGGCGUUUGCUUCGGCUUUCGCUGGGCCAGCAUCAGUUUUAGCGGUUGGAUAAAUCCUCGGGAAUGUGGCUCUGCUUCGGUAGAGUGUUAUAGCCCGUGGGAAUACAGCCAGCUGGGACUGAGGAUUGCGACUUUUGUCAAGGAUGCUGGCGUAAUGGUUAAAUGCCGCCCGUCUUGAAACACGGACCAAGGAGUCUAACGUCUAUGCGAGUGUUUGGGUGUAAAACCCGUACGCGUAAUGAAAGUGAACGUAGGUGAGGGCCCGCAAGGGUGCAUCAUCGACCGAUCCUGAUGUCUUCGGAUGGAUUUGAGUAAGAGCAUAGCUGUUGGGACCCGAAAGAUGGUGAACUAUGCCUGAAUAGGGUGAAGCCAGAGGAAACUCUGGUGGAGGCUCGUAGCGGUUCUGACGUGCAAAUCGAUCGUCGAAUUUGGGUAUAGGGGCGAAAGACUAAUCGAACCAUCUAGUAGCUGGUUCCUGCCGAA